GAGAUACACACUUUGGAAUCAAAAUUUGGUGGGAUUUAGGAUGGAAUCGAAUAGCGAAUGCACUUGCGGUUAAGACAGGUCCUGCAUCUCCUACCUAAUGCAAUUGACCGACCCGCCAUUUCUUUCCUUCAAUAAUGCCUUCGCUUCACUUCAAGACGCUAUUUACCAAGGAAAGACUACCUUUUUUUUGAAUGGAAGAAGCCGAAGGGGUGAACGAGCGCUGCGGUAACGAGCCGUAAGAAAGAUGAGCAGAGCAUUCCUUCCGCCGGCCUUUAUAGGAGUAGGGGAGCGUGGUGAGAUAGAUAGACGUCCAAUCCUGCAGCAGCUAGUUGCUCG
rnacentral:lncRNA from 1 species